CUCUUGGGAAGCUUGAGUGCUACAGGAAUGUUUGAGCCUUUCUCCACCUUGUGCCUCGACACAAUCCCAUCUUGAAGCUCUGCAGGCAAUCCCUUCCACCUCCUGGCUGAUCCGCAUUGUGAACUGUGGGACUUUCUUUAAACAGCUCAUGGUCAUCAAUCAAGCCGUUAAUGGGAGCCUUAGAGCAGAAGUCAAGAGGGACUGAGAGAACUAAAGAGAUGGAAUACUACUUGCUUCAUUCAGGGAACACAGAAGAUCAAAAUCAGGAAACAGAGGCGUUUAUCUGUACUGAUAAUUGUCA